UGUGUGGAAGAACUGCAUGGCUGCCAGAGGCUGCCCUGGGACAGUAAUGACAUGAACAACUGCAUUUUCCUGUCUGGUGGUUCCACUUUCAGCCCCCUGAUAGAGAGAAUUAUACACAAAAUAACACUGCCCUGGGCAGACACGUGCCUGAAUGUAGUUCUUGUUGUUUGGAGAAAUUUAUAUGUUUUAAAACCAAUAUUUGAUAAUUUUUUUUUUCUGUUCCAGUUACACCCACUUCUACUACUCCCACUGUCCCCACCACUGUCCCCACCACUGUCCCCACCACCAUCCACACCACUGUCCACACCACUGUCCACACUGAAUUAGAAGCUUCACAAGUUAAAUGCUGGUUUGAGAGGUAAAUGCUCCACCUUUAUUUCCUGCCUCCAAACCCUGAGACUGCAGCCUCCUUCUGCAAGGGAGGGGGUUUAUGUCACAUAUUUAAUGUCCUGGGGGUUUAAAAAGUUCAUUGCAGUUUCCUAGUCUGUGCACUAGUGAUGCUUAAGGCAAAUAUGCACCUUUUCAUCUCAUACUGCUUGGGAUAAAUGUGUUAACACUCCAUAAAGUUUGGUGAAUUUGAGCACUGCUGAUGCUCCAACACCUCUGUUAAAACUGGGGCUUCUGACACGAUUUUCUGUGUAUGAACAGUCGUGAAAUACUGUACAUGUCACUGGCCUUCAUCUCUGGCAUCCUCCUGACUGUCCUGGUUUUUGCCAUCAUCUACCUCUCCAGAAAAAAUUGCAAGAAAUCCCACCAAAAUUUCCAAGGGGAAGUUUGCUUCCAGCAAACAGCACCUGGAGAAUGUGCCAGGAACACCCAGAACGAGGUUACCUACAGCACUCUGGUCUUCCAGCAGAAUCAGACACCACUGGCUGUGUGAUGAUGAAGUUCCAAGAGAAAUAAAAAUGGUUUUUUCCACUUUCUGAACAUCAAAAGCCACCAGAACAUUCCACCAAGGCCUGCAGUGCCCUGAGGGUGCCAGCACUGCCAUCUGUAACAUCAGCUCUUUUUAUAGUCACAAGGGGAAAUGCAGGUCUCCCGUUCCAAACCGAUUGCCAAAGGAUGUGGGCAAAUUGAAGGUGCCUUGGUUUUUUUUUUUAAUACAGUAUUUCCUCUUCUGUAGAAAUCUCCCUGCACUUGUAAAGUUUCCAUUACUGAGCUACCAAAGAGAACUGCAUCUAUCCACGUCUGGGCCCUUGUGUUUCCCUUUUCUGUCACCAGCCAUGGCACUUGGCAUAUUUUUUUGAUUGCCAAGUGCUCUGAUUAGUUAUUUUCUGUUAUUGAGGUGAUGAUAAUGAAAUAUUUGUGUGCAAAUGCUGCUUCCUGAUCGGGUCCCAUAAAAGCAAUGCACCAUCACAGCGUGACAGCCAAAAUUUCUCAUUCACGUGUUAUUACCCACAAUGUUCUAAACACGUUGCAAAGAGGGAAAAAUCAUCCCUUCAUCGUCAGCUGGGGAAUAAAUUACCACGAGUGACUCUGAGCAGCCACAGAGAAGCUCCUCUGCACGUUCCCCCGGAUGGGAGGUUUGUCGUCCCGGGGAGUUCGGGGAUCUCCAACUGCUCAAGGCUGAAUGGGAGGGAUGUUUCCUGCUGGCUCAGCCCUCGGGGCCUCAGAAACCUCCUUGUUUGCGGUCACCAGAGAGUGCCAGACUCUUGCAGGUACUUCUGUUUUCUGAGAACGCUGAUAUUUGCAUGCGUGCUGUUCAA